GUCACGGUGGCCAAGUGGUUAAGGCAUUGGACUCGAAAUCCAAUGGGGUUUCCCUGCACAGGUUCGUAUCCUGUCCAUGGCA